UAGGGAAUCUUCGGCAAUGGGGGGAACCCUGACCGAGCAACGCCGCGUGAGUGAAGAAGGUUUUCGGAUCGUAAAGCUCUGUUGUAAGAGAAGAACGUUGAGUAGAGUGGAAAGUUACUCAAGUGACGGUAUCUUACCAGAAAGGGACGGCUAACUACGUGCCAGCAGCCGCGGUAAUACGUAGGUCCCGAGCGUUGUCCGGAUUUAUUGGGCGUAAAGCGAGCGCAGGCGGCUCUGUAAGUCUGAAGUUAAAGGCAUUGGCUCAACCAAUGUUCGCUUUGGAAACUGCAGGGCUUGAGUGCAGAAGGGGAGAGUGGAAUUCCAUGUGUAGCGGUGAAAUGCGUAGAUAUAUGGAGGAACACCGGUGGCGAAAGCGGCUCUCUGGUCUGUAACUGACGCU
rnacentral:rRNA from 1 species